rnacentral:rRNA from 1 species
GAAUGCCAAAUUUCUAGUAUGAGAAAUUUACGAUUUUAGUCCUUCUUAAAUGAGGCCAUUUACCCAUAGAGGGUGCCAGGCCCGUAUAACGUUAGUGAUUACUAGAUGGUAUUUCCAAAGAGUCGUGUUGCUUGAUAGUGCAGCACUAAGUUGGUGGUAAACUCCAUCUAAAACUAAAUAUAACCAUGAGACCGAUAGUAAACAAGUACCGUGAGGGAAAGUUGAAAAGAACUCUGAAUAGAGAGUUAAAUAGUACGUGAAACUGCUUAGAGGUUAAGCCUGAUGAACCUGAAUAUCCAUUAUAGAAAAUUCAUCAUUAUGACUUUAACAUUCAUAUAAUGUUAUAAUAAUAGUGUGCAUUUUUUCUAUAGAGGACAUUGUAAUCUAUUAAUAUAAAUUAAAUUUAUCACAAGGUUAAUUGCGUAUGUUUAUUCUAAUUAUUUUGCUUGCAAUUUAACAUAAAAUAAAUGCUUUUGACUCGAUAAAGUAUUAAUAGAUUUAUUAUAUAUAGUGCUUGAAUAUAUUUAAUAUAUUCUAUAAUAGCAUAUUAAUUACUAAUUUUUAUGUUUAUUUUAUGCACUUAUAUGAUUAACAAUGCGAAAGAUUCAGGAUACCUUCGGGACCCGUCUUGAAACACGGACCAAGGAGUCUAACAUAUUUGCAAGUUAUUGGGAACAAAAACCUAAUAGCAAAAUUAACAUAACUUAAAUUAAAUGGGAUUAGUUUUUAGCCUAUUUUAUAUAGUCUAUUAAUUCAAUCCCGGGGCGUUCUAUAUAGUUAUGUAUAAUAAUAUUUAUAUUAUUUAUACCUCUAACUAGAACGUACCUUGAGCAUAUAUGCUAUGACCCGAAAGAUGGUGAACUAUACUUGAUCAGGUUUAAGUCAGGGGAAACCCUGAUGGAAGACCGAAACAGUUCUGACGUGCAAAUCGAUUGUCAGAAUUGAGUAUAGGGGCGAAAGACCAAUCGAACCAUCUAGUAGCUGGUUCCCUCCGAAGUUUCCCUCAGGAUAGCUGGUGCAUUUAAAAAUUAUGUAAAAUAAUCUUAUCUGGUAAAGCGAAUGAUUAGAGGUCUUAGGGUCGAAACGACCUUAACCUAUUCUCAAACUUUAAAUGGGUAAAAACCUCACCUUUCUUGGUAUGAAGGUAGUGGUUGUGAUAUAAUGUGCCCAGUGGGCCACUUUUGGUAAGCAGAACUGGCGCUGUGGGAUGAACCAAACGUAAUGUUACGGUGCCCAAAUUAACAACUCAUACAGAUACCAUGAAA